UGCGCAGGCGGAACGAUAAGUCAGUGGUGAAAUCCUACGGCUCAACCGUAGAACUGCCAUUGAUACUGCCGUUCUUGAGUACAGUUGAAGUGGGCGGAAUGUGUCAUGUAGCGGUGAAAUGCUUAGAUAUGACACAGAACACCGAUCGCGAAGGCAGCUCACUAAGCUGAAACUGACGCUCAGGCACGAAAGCGUGGGGAGCAAACAGGAUUAGAUACCCUGGUAGUCC
rnacentral:rRNA from 1 species